UCUCCGUUGGUGAACCAGCGGAGGGAUCAUUACAGAGUUAUCUAACUCCCAAACCCAUGUGAACUUACCAUUUGUUGCCUCGGCAGAAGUUAUAGGUCUUCUUAUAGCUGCUGCCGGUGGACCAUUAAACUCUUGUUAUUUUAUGUAAUCUGAGCGUCUUAUUUUAAUAAGUCAAAACUUUCAACAACGGAUCUCUUGGUUCUGGCAUCGAUGAAGAACGCAGC
rnacentral:misc_RNA from 1 species